ACUCCUACGGGAGGCAGCAGUAGGGAAUUUUCCGCAAUGGACGAAAGUCUGACGGAGCAAUGCCGCGUGAGUGAUGAAGGUUUUCGAAUCGUAAAGCUCUGUUGUAAGGGAAGAAUAGCAAGGAUAGGAAAUGCUCCUUGUCUGACGGUACCUUACCAGAAAGCCACGGCUAACUACGUGCCAGCAGCCGCGGUAAUACGGAGGGUGCAAGCGUUACUCGGAAUCACUGGGCGUAAAGAGCGUGUAGGCGGAUAGAUAAGUCAGGAGUGAAAUCCUAUGGCUCAACCAUAGAACUGCUCUUGAAACUGUCAAUCUAGAAUGUGGGAGAGGUAGAUGGAAUUUCUGGUGUAGGGUAAAUCCGUAGAGAUCAGAAGGAAUACCGAUUGCGAAGGCGAUCUACUGGAACAUAAAUUGACGCUGAGACGCGAAAGCGUGGGAGCAAACAGGAUUAGAUACCCUGGUAGACUGUCAU
rnacentral:rRNA from 1 species